rnacentral:rRNA from 1 species
CCUACGGGAGGCAGCAGUGGGGAAUAUUGCACAAUGGGGGAAACCCUGAUGCAGCGACGCCGCGUGAGUGAAGAAGUAUCUCGGUAUGUAAAGCUCUAUCAGCAGGGAAGAAAAUGACGGUACUUGACUAAGAAGCCCCGGCUAACUACGUGCCAGCAGCCGCGGUAAUACGUAGGGGGCAAGCGUUAUCCGGAUUUAUUGGGUGGAAAGGGAGCGUAGGCGGCGCGGCAAGUCCGGAGUGAAAGCCCAGGGCUUAACCAGGGGACUGCUCUGGAAACUGUGGAGCGUGAGUGCGGGAGGGGCAAGCGGAAUUCCUAGUGUAGCGGUGAAAUGCGUAGAUAUUAGGAGGAACACCAGCGGCGAAGGCGGCCUGCUGGACCGUAACUGACGUUGAGGCUCGAAAGCGUGGGGAGCGAACAGGAUUAGAUACCCGAGUAGUC